GACGUAGGGCGCGAGCGUUGUCCGGAUUUAUUGGGCGUAAAGAGCUCGUAGGCGGCUUGUCGCGUCGACUGUGAAAACCCGCGGCUUAACUGCGGGACUGCAGUCGAUACGGGCAGGCUAGAGUUCGGUAGGGGAGACUGGAAUUCCUGGUGUAGCGGUGAAAUGCGCAGAUAUCAGGAGGAACACCGGUGGCGAAGGCGGGUCUCUGGGCCGACACUGACGCUGAGGCGCGAAAGCCAGGGGAGCAAACGGG
rnacentral:rRNA from 1 species